GAGGCCUGGGGGGACUAUUGGGGAACUCACGAGAAGCCUGGACGUGCUGAAUCCGAUCCGAGAAGGCAGGGCCAAGCAGGUGGGGCACUCCAGCUCUGUUUCCGGGGAGAUACUUCACCUGCCUAACCUGCACUCAGAACUUAAGCUCCACAUUGGCCAGAUUUAUUUGCUGAUAUAUCCCAAGUUCUGGAACAGUGUCUAACACGGAGUAGGAGCUCAGGAGAUAUUUACUGAAGAAUGACUCCUGUCCCCGUGGAACUUAGAGUCUACCAAGGCAGCCAGAUAAACCCAUUAUUAUAAAUCGUGUACCUGUGAACGACCUGACGUCAAGGAACGGAUUACGUCCAUUUCUGCAUUCCUGGCCAGCAGACUACUGUGGAUGAGGCACACAGGAAGUACUGAGAUGAAGGUCACAAGCACCUCUUCAGCAAAGCCCACCUCCCUCUCUCGCUUGAUUCCCCGGCCAUCCUUAUCAAAGACCUUCCAGGUGAAUAGGCAGCCGUCCUCAGCAGUGGUCAGCAGGAAUUGAUCAUCAAAGGGGCAGAGGGUACCUCAUGGCACGAAUGGUUCCCACCGAGGUGCCCACAAACAUCAUGCGUCCGGAAUGCGAGAUGGCAAUGGCUGUGUAGGUGACGUCAAACGCCGGUAUCUCUCGAAGGAUCUGGGACACAGAUUCCAUUCAUACACAGCACCAUCUGUGCCACCAGAAAUCAGUUUGCUAUCAUCUGCAUUCCACGCAAUUGAGCGAAUCUGCAGGAGACAAAGAUACCCAGUGAAGAAGAAUCUUCGAAAAUAGCCCAGAGAGAGUGGACUUCUGGAAUGGAUGGCCAGUAGACAAGAUUUGACUCUGGAGGGGAUGUCUGGGCCAACAGGUAUUUGGAGUCUGGAGAAAAAGCCAUGCUAAUGAAUUUCUGAACUUGGAAAUCAAAAUUAUUAAGAACUCUUCGCUUCCGGCAAGGGAUGGAUGACAGUUCAUAAAUGGUCGGAAGUGUGAACCUAGGGUGACAUUGUGAAAUCAAUGACACUAAGGCAAGAUGCUCUAAGCCCUCUGUCACGCCCACAUAAGGGCUGCUGGAGGGCACCUUGGCUGUGCAGCAGCGCCAGUGCUGUGAAAGCGCCCGCUGUUCAGCCAGCUAGGGAAGAAGACGUGCCAAAUAGCUGAGACGUCUCCUUCCCUGGAGGAGUUAGGAGAAAACUCCGCUUCUCCAAGCUCUUGUGGCAAGACCUGAUGGCUGUCAGGUAAACCCACAGACAUCCGGGGCUUAACUGUCUCUAUGUGAUGCUGUGCUUCAGCGGUCACGUUCCAUGUCGACUCUCAUGUUCUGCUUCUGGAUCUGGUUCCUUUUUUCUUGGAAAAGAUAAUCAGUAAUAGUAAUAGAAAUGUUAAUGUUUUUGUUCUUUCUUGGUAAGUAUGGAAAAGGUGCUGAUGCAUCAUGCUCCUUACUUCACUUCGGGUGCCAGAAAUUCCUGAGCCCCUACCUGAGUGACACGUGAUGUACCCCCAGUCUCUGACCACCAUGACCACGCCCUACCUACCCCCAGAUUUGCAACUCAAUAAAAGUGAGAGCAUCCCAGCAUUUAGGGCCACUGCUGGUUUCUGUGAUUUGGGUAGCAGUGGACCCCUGGGCCCAAACUCUCUUUUCUUGAUUUCUGUAUCUCGUGUCUCUUAUUUCUACAAUUUCUUGUCUCUGCACCAGCAGGGAACGGCUCACAGAACCCUGUAGGGCUGGACCCUAUAUCUGGUGCCCAACGUGGCAGUGGACCCUACAGUAGUGGGCACUGUAGUGGACAGUGGUAGACACAAAGAAGAAAGGCGGCCUUGGUAUAGCUGUGUUUGGGCAUUAUGAAAAUGACUAGGGGCCAGGUGUGGUGGCUCAUACCUGUAAUCUCAGCACUUUGGGAGGCCAAGGUGAGUGGAUCACUUGAGAUCAGAAGGCUGAGGCAGGAGAACUGCUUGAACCUGGAAGCGUGGAGGUUGCAGUGAGCUGAGAUCGUGCCACUGCACUCCAGCCUGGGAGACAGAGCGAGACUCUGUCUCAAAAAGAAAAGGACUAGGGCAGGUGCCUCUGAGGAUGAGGU